CGUCCCCCACUCACCCUAACCUCCCGCUCCCAAUUCCCCAGCUCCAACCACCGAAUCCUAGUUGAGGCGGCGCCCGGCGGCGCGGCCAGGACUGCGGCAGCCUGCGGCCAGCAGCAGCACCACACCAGGCGGACAUUGGAUCAUCGGGUUGGGCCGGUCGAUUGGCGGCCAGCCGGGAGCCUGCAGUGACGGUGGACGGCGGACUCCUCAGGAAGGAAGCUGCACCCCGCCCGCCGCCGCCGGCCUCUACGAGCAGGAUGUCGGAUUCAAUGCUGCCGCCCCCUCCUUGGGCGGAACAGCACAUUUCUCCCUGCCGUGGCUGCCAUCCUCCUCGUCGUGGAUGUCUAGUAGCUCCUCACGAACUUGUAUGCUUUGCAUGGACAAGCAUUGCCUCACGUUGUGGCGGAAAAAGAAUUAAGGGAGGAAAGGCAGUAUUAUUCUGUCAACAUCUGGGGCAUUAGAAUGGUUGAUUAUGAUCAAUGGCUGAAUUCUUAAUUGGAUGCAUUCAAGAAUGGAUCAAGAAACAAUGAACUUCAAGAUUUCUAAAUACUUAUAUGUUUUAAUUUUCCUUUCCAAUAGUACAGAUUUUGUACUCUUUGCUGUCACAAUGUAUAUUUGCUCUCUACAGUUAUUCUUAUAUAUAUAUAUAUAUAUAUAUAUAUAUAUAUAUAGACACACACACACACACACACACUGUCACAUGAUGCAUACUACCUACAUUUGUUUCCCUUCUAUAUUCUAGUGAUUAUUGAAAAUUGUGGUUUGUGUGAUU